rfam:Danio rerio chromosome 4, GRCz11 reference primary assembly.
UGUUUUGAAAAAAAAAAAACAUAUACUUGGAUCGAUACAGAGAAGAUUAGCAUGGCCCCUGCGCAAAGGA